rnacentral:rRNA from 1 species
GAUGAACGCUGGCGGCGUGCCUAAUACAUGCGAGUCGAGCGAACAGAUGAGGAGCUUGCUCCUCUGACGUUAGCGGCGGACGGGUGAGUAACACGUGGAUAACCUACCUAUAAGACUGGGAUAACUUCGGGAAACCGGAGCUAAUACCGGAUAAUAUAUUGAACCGCAUGGUUCAAUAGUGAAAGACGGUUUUGCUGUCACUUAUAGAUGGAUCCGCGCCGCAUUAGCUAGUUGGUAAGGUAACGGCUUACCAAGGCGACGAUGCGUAGCCGACCUGAGAGGGUGAUCGGCCACACUGGAACUGAGACACGGUCCAGACUCCUACGGGAGGCAGCAGUAGGGAAUCUUCCGCAAUGGGCGAAAGCCUGACGGAGCAACGCCGCGUGAGUGAUGAAGGUCUUCGGAUCGUAAAACUCUGUUAUUAGGGAAGAACAAAUGUGUAAGUAACUAUGCACGUCUUGACGGUACCUAAUCAGAAAGCCACGGCUAACUACGUG